rnacentral:lncRNA from 1 species
UUGUCAACCGGGGUAGUUUCUUGUAGGCAGACAGUUGGUUCUCAUAUCUGCUUGGCUAUCCUUUGCUGCCAUGUUAGCAUUGGAGGCUGCAUCCUAGAAGGUAUGGAUACUGUAGUUCUGUUUGAUUGAUUGACUCGUUUUCUCUNGAUUAUACAAGAUUAGUUUAAUGUAUUACCAUUCUACCUUUUUUUUUUGGGGGGGGGGGCGGUUAAUUAGAGUUUCAAAUACUCAACCUGUUUACUUGUUAAUGUUCCACUAACCUAUUUUACUUAAAUGGGAUCGACCAUUAAGAAAUGAAUAACCUUAGUGAAUAAGAAUACGUACUAAAUACUGUUAGAUCAUACAAGAUUAGUUUAAUGUAUUACCAUUCUGGAUGCCUUGGUUUGGAUGGAUGGGUGGCGGCUAUAGUUAUAUGUGCUGAGAUGUUCAGAUGGCAUAGCCACAUUUCUUUUUACAUAUGUGUCUUCUCAAAAUAAAUGAAAUAUAAUCUGUAUGUUAUAUUGCUAUUGAGUUUUAUGACCUUUUCAUAAGCCAUGCCAUAUAUUUUUCGUGCGGAUGCCCAUGCCAUAUAUGUUUUCAUGCGGAUGGUCAUGCCAUAUAUGUUUUCAUGCGGAUGGUUUCCAAGAUAGAACAUGCAAUACGUUGAAAUAUUUGUGCUUACAACCUUGUAACAAUAAGAUGUACCUAGAAUUGGUUAUCUUACAUUUGAACAUGUAAUUCCUUGUAAAAAAGAAUACAAAGAAAAAAUGAUGCUUUUUUCCCAUGUCAUGCUCUGAAUUCUCGAUGAUCUACUUCUUAGAUGGUAAAAUGAGAAUCGUGUUUCAACCAGAAAAACAAAAGUUGCGUGAAAUACAUAAAUUGAACGGAUGAGAUUUUGCCUGAUAUGACAACAAUUAUCCCUUUUUUCCCAUGUCAUGCUCUGAAUUACCGAUGAUCUACUUUUCAGAUGGUAAAAUGACAACCAUGUUUCAACCAGGAAAACAGGAGUUGUGUGAAAUACAUACAUAAAUUGAAUGGAUGAGAUUCUGCCUGAUAUGACAACGAUUGUCUUGGAAUCACUUUUACGUGGACAGCUAACAACUAUGGUGAGACGAGUGUGGAUCACAAGCAAAGUUUGAUUCAAAAAACAAAAACAGAAAAACAUUGAACAUCGGUGUUAAUAUUUUUUGAGAAGGUAUUUCUGUAUUCUUGUAGUAUACUUCCUCUGUCCAAUAAUAAUAUAUUGUUGAAAAUAUUUUAUAUUAUGGGACGGAGCGACAUCAAAGAAAUGAGCGUUUGGAUGCAAAAAAGGAAGUUCCGAAGUACAAAUUGGCUACACAGAAGCGCUGCCAACACGUCCGUACGGCUGUGAAUACCUGGUUUAUGAGCCGUUCAUUUACUGGAUCGGACAGCUGCUACUCAUUCGUCUGUGUAUACUUUUCUAGGGUUAAGCAGCACUCCACAAGAUGAGCAUAUACGUGCACAAGCACAUUCAUGUAGGUGGUGCCAUAGAAAAUUACUACGAUAUUCUAGCACCAGGUUGCUUCUAGUAUUUUGUAGCCCGCCAAUAGUGGUGAAUUAUUUCUUGCUCUCGCAAGCUGCGGCAGAUCUAGUCCCUCCAGGCUCUAUUUUGUAGCCCAUAUAGACCAGCCCAUGGGCUCUUCUCCCUUCUGCUUGUUCGGUUUUGUGUUGAGGAAUCUCAGUUCCUUUGCUAUGACUAGCACUUUAAGUUAGUUUUUUUGUAGUGGCGCUUAGAUGAAAGUCAGUGUCUCACAUUCGAGCUGAUCUUUUGGGCUUUGAUCUUUCUUGAGUUUGUCCAUGCAUGAAUUGGGCAGAGCUUCAAUGUAGAUUAUUGUCAUCGCAAGAGGCGACAAAUACAAGCAUUGGAGUGAGCACGUCACCUUGUCAUCGCCCUCCCUUACAGAGCUGAGCAAACCUUGUUUUAUUAGAGAUCUGCUUGUUCUAAGGCCCAAUGAACCAGUGCACCAGAAUAACAACUGGCAUCGAUGAAGAAAAAUGUAGAUCGGAAUGAUCAAAUAUGUAGACACAUAACCGAAGGUGAAC